rnacentral:rRNA from 1 species
AUGGCGGUGUCACGGCGGACGGGGUGGAUCGCCGCCGGCCUCCUGGCGCGGCUGCUCAUGAUGGCCGUCCUGCUCAUGGCCGUGCGCUUCGUUCUUGCCAACUACAUCCAGUGGGACUAUACACAAGACCCCUACAAGCUCCAGAGCUACACGUAUGUGGUCGCGUCGGCCGUCGUGGGGACGGCGGGGGGCAUGCUGCAGAUACCCGUCGCCAUGUACCUACUGUGCAAGAGCAAAAGGGCGAUACCCAGCGCCAUCAUCCUCGACAUCAGCAUGCACGCCGACAUAGUGAUCAGCGUCGUGCUGGCAAGCGGCGUCGGUGCCGGGUUCGGCGCGACCAACGACGUUCUGCGCUACGUCCGGGUGACCACAUGGGAAGGCGGGCAGCAAGCGGAGCAGGCUCUCAUCAACUACUACAACAGGGCGAUCGUCCCCGUCGUGUUCCUCCUCGUAGGCAUGGUCCUCUCCAUCUGCGCCACCGUCGCCUCCGCCAGGCUCCGCGCCAGGGCGACAAACGAUUCUCAAGGUGGUGCCUGA